rnacentral:rRNA from 1 species
GAUGAACGCUGGCGGCGUGCCUAAUACAUGCAAGUCGAGCGAACACACGGUAAGCUUUCUCCUCUGCCGGUAGCGGCGGACGGGUGAGUAACACGUGGAUAAGCUACUUAUAUUACUUGGAUAAUUUCGUAGAACCAGAUCUACUACCAGCGCAUAUAUUCAACCGCAUAGAUCAAUAGUGCAAGACGCUUUUGCUGUUACUUAUAGAUGGUUCCGCGCCGCAUUAUCUAGUUGGUAAGGUAACGGCUUACCAAGGCAACGAUGCGUAGCCGAUCUGAGAGGGUGAUCAGCCACACUGGAACUGAGACACGGUCCAGACUCCUACGGGAGGCAGCAGUGGGGAAUAUUCGACAAUGGGCGCAAGCCUGACCCAGCCAUGCCGCGUGAGUGAUGAAGGUCUUCGGAUUGUAAAACUCUGUUGUUAGGAAAGAAAAACAGCGUAAUAAAACACGGAUGUUCUGACGGUACCUAAUUAAAAAGCCACGGCUAACUACGUG